UCGGCUGUAUUUAUAUACCUCCCGAAAACACUAAGUAUGCUUCGAAUGAUGCAUUUAAUGACAUCGAAACUGAAAUGUCAGACUUGAUUGAAAAAACAAAUAGCUAUGUCUCUCUAGUUGGUGACUUUAACGCAAAAACCAAAUUAUUAAGUGAUAUUGUAAUACCAGAUAGUAAACUGUUUGAAAUACUUGAUGAUAUUGUUGAUGAUGAUGUUUUAUCUUAUGUGUAUGACUAUGAGAAUUUAUUACAAAACGAUGUACCAAUGAAAAGAUACUCUACUGAUAUAUCUGUACC
rnacentral:lncRNA from 1 species